rnacentral:rRNA from 1 species
CAGCAGCCGCGGGAAUACGAAGGGGGCUAGCGUUGUUCGGGAUUACUGGGCGUAAAGGGCGCGUAGGCGGCCAUUCAAGUUAGAUGUGAAAGCCCUGGGCUCAACCUAGGAAUUGCAUUUGAUACUGUUUGGCUUGAGUUCGGGAGAGGUGAGUGGAAUUCCCAGUGUAGAGGUGAAAUUCGUAGAUAUUGGGAAGAACACCAGUGGCGAAGGCGGCUCACUGGACCGACACUGACGCUGAGGCGCGAAAGCGUGGGGAGCAAACAGGAUUAGAUACCCCAGUAGUCCCUGUCUCUUAUAC